rnacentral:rRNA from 1 species
AACGAACGUUGGCGGCGCGCUUAACACAUGCAAGUCGCACGAGAAAGGGAGCAAUCCCCGGUAAAGUGGCGCACGGGUGAGUAACACGUGGAUAAUCUUCCCUCGGGUGGGGGAUAACCCUUCGAAAGGAGGGCUAAUACCGCAUGAGACCACGACCAGUCCGCUGGUUGGGGUCAAAGCCGGCCUCUUCAUGAAAGCUGGCGCCUGAGGAUGAGUCCGCGGCCCAUCAGCUAGUUGGUAGUGUAAAAGACUACCAAGGCAAAGACGGGUAGCUGGUCCGAGAGGAUGAUCAGCCACACUGGAACUGAGACACGGUCCAGACUCCUACGGGAGGCAGCAGUGGGGAAUCUUGCGCAAUGGGCGAAAGCCUGACGCAGCGACGCCGCGUGGGUGAUGAAGGCCUUCGGGUUGUAAAGCCCUGUGGGGAGGAACGAAUAAGUUCAGCCCAAUACGCUGAAUGAUGACGGUACCUCCUUAGCAAGCACCGGCUAACUCUGUGCCAGCAGCCGCCGUAAGAC